GAUGAAGAACGUAGCGAAAUGCGAUAAGUAAUGUGAAUUGCAGAAUUCAGUGAACCAUCGAAUCUUUGAACGCAAGUUGCGCCCGAAGCCAUUAGGCCGAGGGCACGCCUGCCUGGGCGUCACACGUCGUUGCCCCCCCAUCUACUCCUUCGGGAUUGCGGGGGGCGGAUGAUGGCCUCCCGUGCGCCUCGUCGCGCGGUUGGCAUAAAUGCCAAGUCCUCGGCGACGCACGCCACGACAAUCGGUGGUUGCGAAACCUCGGUUGCCCGUCGUGUGCGGUCGUCGCGCAUCGAGGGCUCGAAAAAAUUGCCGGGCUCCGGCUCGGCUUUCAACGCGACCCCAGGUCAGGCGGGGUUACCCGCUGAAUUUAAGCAUAUCAAUAAGCGGAGGA
rnacentral:misc_RNA from 1 species